UUCUAUUAGAUCUAAUUAAUAGUAUAAUCUGCUCAAUGACAUUAAAUAGCCGCUAUUACUGUGCUAAGGUAGCAUAAUCAUUUGUCUUUUAAUUAAAGACUAGAACAAAAGAUUAAACAUUUCAACUAAUAUAUUAAAAUUAAUUAAUUUAACUUAUUCAAAAUGUAAAAAAACAUUUAUAAAAUAGGAAGACGAUAAGACCCUAUUAAACUUAACUUUAGUUAAACUGGGGCAGUUAAUCAAAUAUUAUUUUAAUUUUAAUAAUAAAUAAAUUGAUCCUAUAAAAUAGGAUAAAUGAUCAAGUUACUAUAGGGAUAACAGCGUAAUAUUAAUUUAAAGAUCUUAUUAAAAUAAAAGAUUACGACCUCGAUGUUGAAUUAAUUAACCUAUACUAUUGCAAUAAAUAAUCAAAGGAAGUCUGUUCGACUAUAAAAAAAUUACA
rnacentral:rRNA from 1 species